CACUUCUAAGGAAGGCAGCAGGCGCGCAAAUUACCCAAUCCUGACUCAGGGAGGUAGUGACAAGAAAUAACAAUAAACCGGCUUAUGCCGGUUUAAUUGGAAUGAGUACAAUUUAAACAUCUUAACGAGGAACAAUUGGAGGGCAAGUCUGGUGCCAGCAGCCGCGGUAAUUCCAGCUCCAAUAGCGUAUACUAAAGUUGUUGCAGUUAAAAAGCUCGUAGUUGGAUUUCUGUGGGGACGGAGCGGCCGGCCGCAACACGCGGUUCGAGCUAGCGCUUUCCCUACAUCCCGCCGCGAACCGUGCUACCAUUAGUUUGGUGGCGCCGGGGAUCGGCUCGAUUACUUUGAGAAAAAUAGAGUGUUCAAAGCAGGCCACACGCCUUGAAUAAGUUAGCAUGGAAUAAUAACUAAGGACUUCGGUUCUAUUUUGUUGGUGUUCGGGACUGAAGUAAUGAUUGAUAGGGUCAGUUGGGGCGGUCUGUAUUCCAAAGCGAGAGGUGAAAUUCUUAGACCUUCGGAAGACAAACAGCUGCGAAAGCGUUCCGCAAGGAUGUUCCCUUUGAUCAAGAACGAAAGUUGGGGGAUCGAAGACGAUCAGGUACCGUCGUAGUCUCAACUAUAAACUAUACCAGCUAGGGAUCGGCCAACGUUAUUCUAUACCGACUUGGUCGGCACCUUAUGAGAAAUCAAAGCAUCUGGGUUCCGGGGGGAGUAUGGUCGCAAGGCUGAAACUUAAAGGAAUUGACGGAAGGGCACCACCAGCCGUGGAGCCUGUGGCUUAAUUUGACUCAACACGGGAAAACUUACCAGGUCCAGACAUAGUAAGGAUUGACAGAUUGAUAGCUCUUUCUUGAUUCUGUGGGUGGUGGUGCAUGGCCGUUCUUAGUUGGUGGAGUGAUUUGUCUGGUUAAUUCCGUUAACGAACGAGACCCCAGCCUGCUAAAUAGCGCGUGUGAGCUUUGCUCGCAGCGAGCUUCUUAGAGGGACUAUGAUGCGCGAUAGCACAUGGAAGUUUGGGGCAAUAACAGGUCUGUGAUGCCCUUAGAUGUUCUGGGCCGCACACGGGCUACACUGGCGCCUGCAACGAGCAUAUCAGCUGGCCCGAGAGGGUCUUGGCUAAUCUUUUGAACCGGCGCCGUGCUUGGGAUUGACCUUUGCAAUUGUUGGUCAUGCAACGAGGAAUGCCUUGUAAACGCGAGUCAUCAGCUCGCAUUGAAUACGUCCCUGCCCUUUGUACACACCGCCCGUCGCUCCUACCGAUGAAUGUUCCGAUGAAAUUUUCGGAGAGUGCCUGUGAACUUGGCUCUGCCUUGCGAACGGGAAGCUCAAAGUCACUUAAAUCUGAACAUUUCGAGG
rnacentral:rRNA from 1 species